rnacentral:rRNA from 1 species
GACGAACGCUGGCGGCGUGCUUAACACAUGCAAGUCGAACGGACAGGCCUCUUUCGGGCGGUACUCGCGUGGCGAACGGGUGAGUAACACGUGAGUAACCUGCCCUUCUCUUUGGGAUAACUUCAGUCAACUGGGGCUAAUACCGGCUAGGAGCUCCUGCUGCCUGCAUGGGGUUGGAGAGAUUCGGCGGUUGGGUAUGGCCUCGCGGCGUAUCCGCUUGUUGGUGGGGUAGUGGCUUACCAAGGCCUUGCCGGGAAGCCGGCCUGAGGGGGUGACGGGCCACACUGGGACCGAGAGGCGGCCCAGACUCCGACGGGAGGCAGCUGUGCGGAAUAUUGCACAAUGGGUGGAAGGCUGAUGCAGAAGCGCUGUGGGCGGGAUGACGGCCUUAUGGUUGUAAACCGAAUGCGCUAAUGACGAAGCUUUGUGUGACGGUAGUGGGUAAAGAAGCACCGGCUAACUACGUG